rnacentral:rRNA from 1 species
UACCAUGCAAGUCGAGCGGUAACAUUUCUAGCUUGCUAGAAGAUGACGAGCGGCGGACGGGUGAGUAAUGCUUGGGAACAUGCCUUGAGGUGGGGGACAACAGUUGGAAACGACUGCUAAUACCGCAUAAUGUCUACGGACCAAAGGGGGCCUCGGCUCUCGCCUUUAGAUUGGCCCAAGUGGGAUUAGCUAGUUGGUGAGGUAAUGGCUCACCAAGGCGACGAUCCCUAGCUGGUUUGAGAGGAUGAUCAGCCACACUGGGACUGAGACACGGCCCAGACUCCUACGGGAGGCAGCAGUGGGGAAUAUUGCACAAUGGGCGCAAGCCUGAUGCAGCCAUGCCGCGUGUGUGAAGAAGGCCUUCGGGUUGUAAAGCACUUUCAGUCAGGAGGAAAGGUUAGUAGUUAAUACCUGCUAGCUGUGACGUUACUGACAGAAGAAGCACCGGCUAACUCCGUGCCAGCAGCCGCGGUAAUACGGAGGGUGCGAGCGUUAAUCGGAAUUACUGGGCGUAAAGCGUACGCAGGCGGUUUGUUAAGCGAGAUGUGAAAGCCCCGGGCUCAACCUGGGAACUGCAUUUCGAACUGGCAAACUAGAGCGUGAUAGAGGGUGGUAGAAUUUCAGGUGUAGCGGUGAAAUGCGUAGAGAUCUGAAGGAAUACCGACGGCGAAGGCAGCCACCUGGGUCAACACUGACGCUCAUGUACGAAAGCGUGGGGAGCAAACAGGGUUAGAUACCCUGGUAG